rnacentral:rRNA from 1 species
UACGAAGGGGGCUAGCGUUGCUCGGAAUCACUGGGCGUAAAGCGCACGUAGGCGGCUUUUUAAGUCAGGGGUGAAAUCCUGGAGCUCAACUCCAGAACUGCCUUUGAUACUGAGAAGCUUGAGUCCGGGAGAGGUGAGUGGAACUGCGAGUGUAGAGGUGAAAUUCGUAGAUAUUCGCAAGAACUCCAGUGGCGAAGGCGGCUCACUGGCCCGGUACUGACGCUGAGGUGCGAAAGCGUGGGGAGCAAACAGG